AUUGAACGCUAGCGGGAUGCUUUACACAUGCAAGUCGAACGAGUGGCUGACGGGUGUGCACUAGAUAGUCACGUGCCCAGGCGGGGGGGAUAACUUCUCGAAAGCGUAGCUAAUACCCCAUACUAUUAGAGAGGCCGAGAUCGGAUGGGCGAGGUGGUGGGGUAAAGGCUAACCAAGGCAACGAUCCGUAGCUGGUUUGAGAGGACGACCAGCCACACUGGGACUGAGACACGGCCCAGACUCCUACGGGAGGCAGCAGUGGGGAAUUUUGGACAAUGGGGGAAACCCUGAUCCAGCCAUCCCGCGGGUAUGAGAAGGCCUUCGGGUUGUAAAGUACUUUUGGCAGAGAAGCGGUAUCUGCAGAAUAAGCACCGGCUAACUACGUGCCAGCAGCCGCGGUAAUUC
rnacentral:rRNA from 1 species